rnacentral:rRNA from 1 species
UNCCGGUUGAUCCUGCCGGACCCGACCGCUAUCGGGGUAGGGCUAAGCCAUGCGAGUCGCGCGCCCGGGGGCGCCCGGGAGCGGCGCACGGCUCAGUAACACGUGCCCAACCUACCCUCGGGAGGGGGACACCCCCGGGAAACUGGGGCCAAUCCCCCAUAGGGGAAGGGCGCUGGAAGGCCCCCUCCCCGAAAGGACGGUGGCCGAUCCGCCGCCGCCCGCCCGAGGAUGGGGGCACGGCCCAUCAGGUAGUUGGCGG